ACCGGCCAAUCUCCAGUCCCAACAUAGGUCUGGACUCUGGAAUGCCCUGAUGCCUGUCUUUCCAGUCUCUGCCACCAGUCCAUGCCAGACCUUGUGUUCUUCUCACCUCAGUGCCCCUUAUCAAGGUCUCUGCACAGAUCAGGGUUAAUGACGGCAGGCUUCUGGACCCUUCCCCUACUCAACUCAGUUCCUUGACUUCAAUGGAUUAUCCAAAAAAAUUGAGAACAGGAGCAGCCAAAGACGUAAAAGAUGACCACACACUGUGAGCACAACUGUCAACACUUCACAGAUGAUUACCAGAGGCUGGGCUAGCACAUCCAUGUUUUCUAUUUUCUACACGUCAGUUGAAUUCAGGGAGGUGUGAGAGCUCAGAAGCCUGACAGACAUGGAGAUUUGAAUGAUAGCUCUUUCUUCACUUUUUCGCCAGUCCAUGUUCACGUCAGUUUUGUCCAUCCAACCCUUGAUCUACACUAGUGCAAGAAUCUUCCAAGUGCUCUCUGUACCAGAACUUCAUGCUCUGUUCUCAGAUGCAUUCUCCAUAACAGUAUAGCUGGUCAUCUUUUAAAAAUGCUUUAUCACCAUGUUUGGAACCCUUCAAAGCAUAAAUUUCAUGCUUGGGAUAACAUGCAUUGUCCUUAGUCCAGCCUCCUUGACCCCAUAUGAUUGGCCCUUGUCUGUCACUCCACCCUCCACCUGUGCUCCUGUCCCUUUCUCACAAGCAGUGCUGUCUGCCUUUCACUAUUCCAGUGCACCAUGCUCCUGCAUUCCAUAGAAUCUGGGAUUUUUGAUUCCUUUGCAGGGGAGCUUCUUUUCCCCACUCAACUUGUCCUUCAUUCAGUUUCUACUUGUUGGUCAAGACUCUGCUUAAACCUCACUUCCUUCUCUUUCCCCAGAUUUGGUUAGGUUCCCUGUUCCAUGAUGUCAUUUGAACUUUUAUUUUAAAAUUCUUAUCUCUACUGCUCUUAAUUCUACAUGAAAUUAUGUUUAAUAUUUGCUUUUUUAGAUAGAGUGCAAGCUUCCUGAGAGAAAAUUUUCAUUUAUCUGGUUUAGAGAAGUAAUCUUCAGGACCUGACGUGGUAUCUGGCACAUGAUAGCUACUCAGAAAAUAUUUGUUGAAUAAAUGGGUGAUUAGCAAUAAUAUCAUAGGGCUUGGUGAGGAUAAUGGGAGGCAAUAU